UUAGCUCAGCUGGAUAGAGCAGCCGACUUCUAAUCGGCAGGUCGAGGGUUCGAAUCCUUCA
rnacentral:tRNA from 2 species